rnacentral:rRNA from 1 species
UACGAAGGGGGCUAGCGUUGCUCGGAAUCACUGGGCGUAAAGGGUGCGUAGGCGGGUCUUUAAGUCAGGGGUGAAAUCCUGGAGCUCAACUCCAGAACUGCCUUUGAUACUGAAGAUCUUGAGUUCGGGAGAGGUGAGUGGAACUGCGAGUGUAGAGGUGAAAUUCGUAGAUAUUCGCAAGAACACCAGUGGCGAAGGCGGACUCACUGGCCCGAUACUGACGCUGAC